ACCUGAACAAGAACCAGAACAAAGUCUAAAAUAGAAGCUGACAAACAGCUGCACCACCGAGUGACACUUUAUUUUAUAAACUUCACAACAGGUUUCAUGUUGUGACCUGUGGAGGUGAAAAGACGCAAAACCUGUUUUACAGUUUUUGAGCUACAGGCAGGAUUGAAACACACCUUAGUUAAAAGUCAAACAACAACAUUUUUCUCCUCCCCUCACGUCACUCAAAUGUGACAAACCAGGAAACAGGAAGUUCUUCGUCCUCAGUAAAGAGAGACGCACAGACGAUCAGACUGAGUUCAGACCAAACUAGCAGCUUCCUCUGAGUGAGUCCAGCUACAGGAGAGAAAAGUGGAAAACUCCAACACUGCUGCUUCAAGCUGCUGACGCUCCACACACUGAAUCUUCACUCACAGACUCAAUGGCUUCCAGAUCAGAGGAGGAUCUCUGCUGUCCGGUCUGUCAGGAGGUCUUCAGAGAUCCUGUUCUUCUGUCAUGUAGCCACAGCUUCUGUAAAGACUGUCUGAAGAGAUGGUGGAGA